UGCCCGGUAGUGUAAUCGGUAACACACGAGAAUUUGGAUCUCGGUUUCCAGGUUCGAGUCCUGGCUGGGCAGCCA
rnacentral:tRNA from 1 species